GGAUUAGGCAUGCAAGUCGAACGAGAAAGUCCUCUUCGGAGGGCGAGUAAAGUGGCGAACGGGUGAGUAAUGCAUGGAUAACCUACCUCUGAGAAAGGGAUAACUUCUCGAAAGGGAAGCUAAUACCGUAUGAUGUGCCGUGCCUUAGGGCGUUGCACCAAAGAUAGCCUCUGCAUGCAAGCUUUCGCUCAGAGAGGGGUUCAUGUGCUAUUAGCUUGUUGGUGAGGUAACGGCUCACCAAGGCUUCGAUGGCUAGCCGGCCUGAGAGGGUGUCCGGCCACACUGGGACUGAGACACUGCCCAGACUCCUACGGGAGGCUGCAGUCGAGAAUCUUCCGCAAUGCGCGCAAGCGUGACGGAGCGACGCCGCGUGGGUGAUGAAGGCCUUCGGGUCGUAAAGCCCUGUUGCCUGCUAAGAAUGUCGGACGGUGAAUAGCUGUUCCGGUUGACGUCAGCAGGUGAGGAAGCACCGGCUAAAUACGUGCCAGCAGCCGCGGUAACACGUAUGGUGCGAACGUUGUUCGGAAUCACUGGGCAUAAAGAGCACGUAAGCGGUCUGGUAAGUCCGACUGUGAAAUCCCUCGGCUCAACCGAGGAACUGCAUCGGAUACUGCCGAACUCGAGUGCGGUAGGGGAGAGUGGAAUUCCUGGUGGAGCGGUGAAAUGCGUAGAUACCAGGAGGAACGCCGGUGGCGAAAGCGACUCUCUGGGCCGUAACUGACGCUGAGGUGCGAAAGCCAGGGGAGCAAACGGGAUUAGAUACCCCGGUAGUCCUGGCCCUAAACGAUGGGCACUAAGUAGAGGGGUUUU
rnacentral:rRNA from 1 species